AGUGAACGCUGGCGGUAGGCCUAACACAUGCAAGUCGAACGGCAGCACAGUAAGAGCUUGCUCUUACGGGUGGCGAGUGGCGGACGGGUGAGGAAUACAUCGGAAUCUACUUUUUCGUGGGGGAUAACGUAGGGAAACUUACGCUAAUACCGCAUACGACCUACGGGUGAAAGCAGGGGAUCUUCGGACCUUGCGCGAUUAAAUGAGCCGAUGUCGGAUUAGCUAGUUGGCGGGGUAAAGGCCCACCAAGGCGACGAUCCGUAGCUGGUCUGAGAGGAUGAUCAGCCACACUGGAACUGAGACACGGUCCAGACUCCUACGGGAGGCAGCAGUGGGGAAUAUUGGACAAUGGGCGCAAGCCUGAUCCAGCCAUACCGCGUGGGUGAAGAAGGCCUUCGGGUUGUAAAGCCCUUUUGUUGGGAAAGAAAAGCAGCAGGUUAAUACCCCGCUGUUCUGACGGUACCCAAAGAAUAAGCACCGGCUAACUUCGCG
rnacentral:rRNA from 1 species